GUGCUCACUUAGGUGGCACAUAUACUAAAAAACUGGAAUGAUACAGAGAAAGUUAGCAUGGUCCCUGCGCAAGGUUGACAUGCAAAUUCAUACAGUUGUACUACUGACUG
ensembl:snRNA U6 U6 spliceosomal RNA